rnacentral:rRNA from 3 species
AGAACCCAAAAACUUUGAUUUCUCGUAAGGUGCCGAACGGGUCAUCAUAGAGUCCCGUCCGAUCCCUAGUCGGCAUAGUUUAUGGUUAAGACUACGACGGUAUCUGAUCGUCUUCGAUCCCCUAACUUUCGUUCCCUGAUUAAUGAAAACAUCCUUGGCGAAUGCUUUCGCAGUAGUUAGUCUUCAGCAAAUCCAAGAAUUUCACCUCUGACAGCUGAAUACUGACGCCCCCGACUAUCCCUAUUAAUCAUUACGGCGGUCCUAGAAACCAACAAAAUAGAACCGCACGUCCUAUUCUAUUAUUCCAUGCUAAUGUAUUCGAGCAAAGGCCUGCUUUGAACACUCUAAUUUUUUCACAGUAAAAGUCCUGGUUCCCCCCACAGCCAGUGAAGGCCAUGGGGUUCCCCAGAAGGAAAGGUCCAGCCGGACCAGUACUCGCGGUGAGGCGGACCGGCCAGCCAGACCCAAGGUUCAACUACGAGCUUUUUAACUGCAACAACUUUAAUAUACGCUAUUGGAGCUGGAAUUACCGCGGCUGCUGGCACCAGACUUGCCCUCCAAUUGUUCCUCGUUAAGGGAUUUAAAUUGUUCUCAUUCCAAUUACGAGACCCAAAAGAGCCCCGUAUCAGUAUUUAUUGUCACUACCUCCCCGUAUCGGGAUUGGGUAAUUUGCGCGCCUGCUGCCU